rnacentral:misc_RNA from 1 species
UGAUCAUCUCCUGCUUCUUUAAUCACAGAUUUUGUACCACUAGCUAGGGUAACAUUAAGGACUUUUGAAGAUAAGCAAGGUGAGAGAAAAGAUGUUUUUUAUCAGAAAUAUGAUCAGAAGAACUUGAAUCAAGAAGCCAAGGUCCAGUAGAUGAAGACUUAAUUAAACAAACAAAGAAAUUAUCGACUUAGAGAACAAAUGUAUUAUAUGAGGAUGAUUA